rnacentral:lncRNA from 1 species
AAUUGUAGGACUGGUGAGGGAUGCUAUGAAGCAAUUCAAAGCAGUUUCUUUUGUAGGUUAACUCUGUACUUCAAAGAUGAGAAGAUGGGGGAGGAGGAGGGCAGAAAGACUGUGAGUAACCAUCUGCACAUCUAUGUGGACAACACUGGGAGCUGAACAUUCCAGAAAACUUACAGCUGAUGCUCAGCAUGGCACCUUGGUAUGAUAAACAACAACACUGACCCUCCACUGGGUCCCUCCAAGAAGUAGGUGAAGGUUUGCAUGUGGUAGGGACACAUCAAGAUCACCUCACUCCAGGAGGUUCCCAGAGGAACUGGACACUGAGGAUUUAGACAGGAAGAGUGUGUCACAAGAUAAAGCAAUGAUUGUGCUAUUUUAAAGACAUAGAAUUUCCUUGGAGAAGUACCGAAAUAGACACAAGGAAGAGACCUUGUGCCUAUCAGGACCCCAGGCAGUACCUGCGACCCUGACUCACAUGGGAUCUAAACUCACCUGGAUGAUUAUGGAGUCCUGGGGUGGCCAGCAUCUUGGAAAACCUGACAACUUGGAGCUGUGAACUCCUUUUCCAUCAACUACACAUCCAUUUCAGGGACAUCCCUACUUGCCCAUCUCUCAUUCUGUAUGACAAGGCGUGAACUGUACCCUUGACAUCUUUCAAUAAAUAUCCCCACUCA